CCUCUCCUAUCCAAAUCCUCUCUAACCCUCUCGAAACCCUAGCCUCUCUCAUCGUCUCUUACCUCAAGCUCACCAGAAAUCAUGGCUACUCCGGCCAUGAUAACCUCAUACUCACCUUCUAUUACUCCUGUGUGUUUGGUAUUUGAAGAAUCAGGGUGUUGACCUUAAUGGUUCCCUUUCAGAUCUUCUUAGAUCUGUAGAUCUAUG
rnacentral:lncRNA from 1 species